rnacentral:rRNA from 1 species
UACGGGGGGGGCAAGCGUUGUUCGGAAUUACUGGGCGUAAAGGGCGCGUAGGCGGCCUUCUAAGUCGAACGUGAAAUCCCCGGGCUCAACCCGGGAACUGCGUCCGAUACUGGGAGGCUUGAAUCCGGGAGAGGGAUGUGGAAUUCCAGGUGUAGCGGUGAAAUGCGUAGAUAUCUGGAGGAACACCGGUGGCGAAGGCGGCAUCCUGGACCGGUAUUGACGCUGAGGCGCGAAAGCCAGGGGAGCAAACAGG